GUGGGGAAUAUUGGACAAUGGGCGAAAGCCUGAUCCAGCCAUGCCGCGUGUGUGAAGAAGGUCUUCGGAUUGUAAAGCACUUUAAGUUGGGAGGAAGGGCAGUAAGUUAAUACCUUGCUGUUUUGACGUUACCGACAGAAUAAGCACCGGCUAACUUCGUGCCAGCAGCCGCGGUAAUACGAAGGGUGCAAGCGUUAAUCGGAAUUACUGGGCGUAAAGCGCGCGUAGGUGGUUUUGUAAGUUGGAGGUGAAAUCCCCGGGCUCAACCUGGGAACUGCCUCCGAAACUGCAUGACUAUAGUACGGUAGAGGGUAGUGUCAUUUCCUGUGUAGCGGUGAAAUGCGUAGAUAUAGGAAGGAACACCAGUGGCGAAGGCGACUACCUGGACUUCUACUGACACUGAGGUGCGAAAGCGUGGGGAGCAAACAGGAUUAGAAACCCUGGUAGUCC
rnacentral:rRNA from 1 species